AUACGAAGGGGGCUAGCGUUGUUCGGAAUUACUGGGCGUAAAGCGCAUGUAGGCGGACAUUUAAGUCAGGGGUGAAAUCCCGGGGCUCAACCUCGGAACUGCCUUUGAUACUGGGUGUCUAGAGUGUGGAAGAGGUAAGUGGAAUUCCGAGUGUAGAGGUGAAAUUCGUAGAUAUUCGGAGGAACACCAGUGGCGAAGGCGGCUUACUGGUCCAGGGGGGUUACUGACGCUGAGGUGCGAAAGCGUGGGGAGC
rnacentral:rRNA from 1 species